rnacentral:lncRNA from 1 species
UACACACAUAUAUGCAUAUACACACACGCACACAUUUUUAUAACGCACCCUUAAUGCAAAAUUAUGUGUAAAUGAAAAUAAAAUUGAUAAUAAUAUGAAAUAUAGUUAUAAUAUUAAAAUACAAAACAAAAAAGGUUGAAGGAACAAAAAUUAUCAAUCUGGAUAUUCUACCUGGCCGAAGUGAAAUUUUAAUGCAGUGAAGUUACAAGACAAAGGUUUGAGGAUCAUUACCAUAAAUAAUCGCCUUCCUAUUUAUGCAUUGUAAUAUGAACAAGAAAAAUAUUACACUGCCAAUAUUGCUUUACCUAAAAUGAACAGUAAAAUAUAACAAGAAAUCUAUUUGAAGCUUCGACAGCAUCUGUACCUAAUUUGUCUCCAACAUUAUUAAUAUGGUAAUUUAUGCAGAGUCAUUAGGAUUAACAGUAUAAAGGCAUAUGUUGAACCAAAUGACGUCAUCUUAUUCCAUCCUGUGAGAGGACAUUAUCGUUAGGAACCAAGCCAUUUAUUUUUGCAUUUUGUCUGGCAAUCGAGUAAGGCUUCGAAAUUUUCGAGAUAUCAUAUAAUAUAUACAU